UGGUGCGGAGUCUAGUUGGAGGCCAGUAUCUAGUGCAGUGCCUCAGGGGUCAGUGCUGGGGCCAAUAUUAUUCAAUAUAUUCAUUAACGAUUUAGACGAGGGAAUAGAGUGUACUAUCAGCAAGUCUGCUGAUGACACUAAGCUGGGAGGUGUGGCUGACACACCAGAAGGCUGUGCUGCCAUCCAGAGACCUGGACAGGCUGGAGAGUUGGGCGGGGAAUAACCUGAUGAAAUUUAACAAGGGAAAGUGUAGAGUCCUGCAUCUGGGCAGGAACAACCCCAGGUUCCAGUGUAGGUUGGGAAAUUACAUAUUAGAGAGCAGUGUAGGGGAAAGGGACCUGAGGGUCCUGGUGGACAACAGGAUGACCAUGAGCCAGCACUGUGCCCUUGUGGCCAGGAAGGCCAAUGGUACCUGGGGUGUAUUAGAAGGGGGGUGGUUAGUAGAUCGAGAGAGGUCCUCCUUCCCCUCUACUCCGCCCUGGUGAGACCACAUCUGGAAUAUUGUGUCCAGUUGUGGCCCCUCGGUUCCAGAAGGACAGGGAACUGCUGGAGAGGGUCCAGCAUAGGGCAACCAAGAUGAUUAAGGGAGUGGAGCAUCUCCCUUAUGAAGAAAGGCUGGGGGAGCUGGGUCUCUUUAGUUUGGAGAAGAGGAGACUGAGGGGGGACUCAUUCAUGUUUACAGAUAUAUAAAGGGUGAGUGUCAGGAGGAUGGAGCCAGGUUCUUCUUGGUGACAACCAGUGACAGGACAAGGGGUAAUGGGUACAAACUGGAACACAGGGGGUUCCACUUAAAUCUGAGAAGAAACUUCUCAGUGAGGGUGGCAGAGCCUGGCCCAGGCUGCCCAGGGGGGUUGUGGAGUCUCCUUCUCUGCAGACAUUCCAACCCGCCUGGACACCUUCCUGUGUAACCUCAUCUGGGUGUUCCUGCUCCAUGGGGGGAUUGGACUGGAUGAGCUUUCCAGUUCCCUUCCAACCCCUGACAUUCUGGGAUUCUAUGGAUCAUCCUCCACGUGUUUUGCAGGUGCUCAGAAAGCAUUUACCGUGUCGUUGAUUAACGAUGGGUGCGUCUCUUGUAAGUGAAUCACGGUGUGCGUGAAUUGAGCAGCCUCUCCUCACUCUCCAUUCCCAGCUGCGCUCUCUCAGGGCAGCCCCACUGGGGCCGAUGCCCAACGAGGAUAUUGACGUCGGCAACUUAGAAGUGCUGGAAAAAUCACGCAGUUUCAGUCGGUGCUUGAGGCUGGCGGAGAAGGAGCAGGGAGCCGCGCUGGGGGCAGACGGCCCGGCAGCACAGCAGCCCCAGCCAGAGCCAAGCCCGACAUCAGCCUGCCGCGUGAGAAGCUGCUGCGGGCAAAGGAAAUCAAGACAAGAAAGAAGAUCCCGAGGGAGAAGCGUCAGAAUGCGGAGAUGGAAAGCGCAGCUCGUCUCCGGACAGGUCUGUGUCCUGCCACCCCCUCCCCGCCCCGGCCACGCUGGGUCCCCCGGUGUCACCUCCAGCGUUUCCCUCUCCUCGCAGCGCUGAUCCCCCUCGACGAGGUCAGAGCUGAGCGGGAGAAGAGCAGCGGCCCGUUCCACAAGCAGCGCGUGGCCGAGCACUGCGCGGUGUUUCAUGACUUGUUCCGAGGGGCCACGUUCCCCCCGGGUCACCUUGAGGGUGGAGUACAGGCAGGCAGACGAGCACGCCGUGCCGGUCUGCUAUGGGAACAUGGUGACUCCGUCAGAGGAGAGUGGGGGGAGCGGGGCUCAGCCUUGGCCCCACGGGAAGCCUCUGUGGUUUCCUCAGACGCUCCCGAUGGGCAUUGUCUGCCCCGGGGGAUUUUGUUUAGAAGGGUAUUUCCUCUGUGAUGAUCAAAACUUGUUUCUUGGACGUGAUAAAGACAGAGCUUUGCAACAGGAUGGCUGUCUGUCAGCAGGCUGAUGUUUAUUAAGGCUCUGGGGGCUCUCAGGUGGAGCUGGAUGACUUGAUGUUGUGGCCAUGCCUGGUCUGUGCUGGGUCCUGGCCUUGCCCAUGCCCGGUUCGUGUUCUUUGCCGUGGAAAUCAUGAUCUGGUCUUAAUGGAAUCUGUAGUUUCAGUGAUUGACAUUCUGUUUGUGUUCCUCAUUCAGGCUUCCAGUUCCCCCGCAGUGUCAUCUGAGGCAGAUAAAGGCUCCCUGCAGACUGUGCUGCUCACAAAUCCAGGGGAGUAGCAGGUUCUUUACAAAGAACGUGUUUAAACAGGAUCUUUUCCCUCUGCUGUUGGUUCGCUCCUGUUUCUGUUGGCUGCACAGGCAGAGACGAUGCCGUAUCAUCUGAGUAGGGAUGUGUUACAUACGCAGGAAAGAUUGUAGCCUCCCCAAAGCUGCAGCAGUUGAGAGAUGAGACGGGACCGGUGUCGCAGUGUAGUGGAAGCAAUUCCCUGACUCCCGUCUUUAUUUUCUCCCCCGACUCCUCUCCCUCAGCAGUCUGCCUGGCAGGUGCAUUAGCUGCCACUGCUCGCUCUGGGAAACCAAGGUACGGUGAAGCAGCUGACUGAGAAGUCCCUUUAAUCUUGGAAUUACAUCUGUUGAGUUCUUUGCUCCUCAUUUGAAGCUCAUUCCUAGAAGAAUGAGUUACUCUUCUGCUAGGAAAGGAUUGCUGGGUGGUUUUGAGCUGCCCCGUUGGUUCGAAGUGGGUCUGGGUGUUCUCACUUUGGGGUUGAUGCAAACACCGGCCUCAAGAUGUGCCAGGGGAGGUUCAUAUUGGACAUUAGGAAACAUUUCUUCCUGGAAAGGGUUGUACAGUACUGGAACAGGCUGCCCAGGGCAGUGGUGGAGUCACCAUCCUGGAAAGAGUUUAGAAGACGUGUAGAUGAGGUUCUUGUGGACAGGGGUUAGUGCCAGAGUUGGGUUGUGGUUGAACUCGAUGAUCUUGAGGGUCUCUUCCAACCCAAACGACUCUGUGAUCCUAUCACGAAGUCGCCUUUCUCUGUUGCAGAAGGACGUUGAAGGGACGCGCACUCGGAGCACCCGCGCUGGCUGGAGUGAGUACCACACGGCAGAGCCGCGCUGCUGGGCUCGGGGAAAGCCCCGGCGGAGCGGGCAGAAGCUCCUUCAACAGAGCUUGGAAUAAGGAUUUGCUGAGACAGUUCUGUGGUUCUCUGGUGCUCCUGCCAGUAGCUUCUUCACACCCAUGUUCUGGGUCCUGCUAAAGAUGCGGGAGUUCAGGUGUUGCUGCUGUUUGGCUUUCAAAACGCUGAGUGUGAUGUUUUUUCCCAGUGAAAGCAGCCUCUGCUCUCUGUUUGCUUGUCAAACAGGGCGUAGGUUACAUCACAACGUAGCCCAGGGUGAUGUCCAAUCCUGGGGGAAUCUGCUGGCCCUAAGGGCGGGAAAUGAACGGAUAUAUAGUGAAGUAAACUUGUGUGUGUUCAGGACGAACAUCCCAGGCAACGACAUCCAGUCGGGUAAGGAGAUCUGCCGUCACCUGCCCCCCUUCCCCGCCAUGGGCACUGGCUGCCAUCGCUUCAUCUUCCUGCUCUUCAAGCCAGAACCGCCCAUCGACUCCAGCGAGGAUGUUGGCCCGGGCUCUGGUCACUGGGGCUGUUGCUGGGCGGUUCACGCUCUCUUGGCCAGGCUGUUCUUGCGUGUUCUGAUGACAAGGUCGUGACUGCUGGAGGAGAGCAAGUUCCUUGGAGUCUGCAUGGUUGUUCAGGGCUGCUCUGAGAUGUGUGUUGCCUGAAGCCGCAACCCCAGCCCUGCAAGCACUGUGCUGUCCUGUUGCUUUAAACCAGGCUGUUAAGAAAGUGGGUUUUUUUCCUGCCUGGAGCAGGAAUGUGCGGAGGGCUGGGGAAGCUGGGAGAAGUUUUGAUGUGCCUUCGUUUUCCACCUCUGUUUUACAGACUCUGGGGUGCUGUGGGGAAGUAGUUGCCUGCCAGAGUGCUGCAAGAAAAGAGAAUCACCUCAGCUCUUGUGCUUGCGUCUUGUUUCCAGCCACAGGCUCAAGCUGCGAACCUUGAGCUCGUUUGACUUGUGCAGAAAGCACGAGGAUGGCAUGACCCCGGCAGGGCUGGCGUUUCAACAGUGCCAGUGGGACAGCUGCGUUCCCUGGGUCUCCCAUCAGCUCCUCAAUAGGAGAGAGCCCAUGGUUGAAUUUGUGCGGCCGCCCGUUUACCAUCCUCCCCAGGUGAAGUUCCCGCACCACCAGCCCCUGAGGACCUGGACAGAUAGCGAGACACCAAGGAGCCCACGUGCGGCAUUUCCUAGGGCUGGGCCUCCCCUCGAGGUGCUCUGCUCUGCGCUGGCGGGAAGGGCUGGGCUUAUCCUUCCUGUAUUUUGACUCUGGGGACUGUGGCUCCCGCAGGGUGGCGGGACGGGACAACGGACCCUCCUGCCUCGUGCUGGCAUCUCGGGGCAGAGGCGCUUUGUGCCGAGCGUCCUCUCCAUCACCUGCUUGUUCCUGGGGAGCAGAGCCCGACCCCCCUGGCUCCAAGCUCCUUUCAGGCAGUUCAGAGAUCAGAAGGUCUCCCCUCAGCUCCUGUUCUCCAGCUGAACCCCCAGGUCCCUCAGCCGCUCCAUCACACUUGUGCUCCAGCCCCUCACCAGCUCCGUUCCCUUCUCUCCACUCGCUCCAGCACCUCAAGGCCUUGCUUGGUGUGAGGGGCCCAAAACUGCCCCAGGAUUCGCGGUUUUUCCUCCCCAGGUCCCAGCACAGGGACGGUCACUGCCCUGGACCUGCUGGCCACACCAGUGCUGGUACCAGCCAGGAUGUUGGUGGCCUCUUGGCCACCUGGGCACACGCUGGCUCAUGUUCAGCCUCUGUCACCAACAUCCCCAGGUCCUUUUUCCUCUUCCCCAGCCUGCAGCGUUCAUGGGGUUAUUGUGACCCAGGUGCAGGACCCGGCACUUGGCCUUGUUGAACCUCAGAAAAUGGGCCUCAGCUCAUUGAUCCAGCUGGUCCAUAUCCCUCUGUAUGGCAAUCUCACCCUCCAGCAGGUCAACAUUCCCACCCAACUUGGUGUUGGCUGCAAACUUACUGAGGGUGCACUCAAUUCCCUUGUCCAGAUCAUUAAGAGAUUAAACAGAACUGGCCCCAGUACUGAGCCCUGGGGACACCACUCAGGACCAACCACCAACUGGAUUUGAACCUGCCUGUGCAGCAAACAGGGCUCUCCUGGGCGCAGCCCCUCAGCACGGGGCUCAGCAGCUGCCGGGGGAAUAAAAUAUCCCCAGGUCUCCCUACACUUGUUUAUUUUAAAUUUAGCAUGAGCAGUUUCCAAAGCUGCUUUUCUCUCAUACGGCUGCCCCUGGAAGGGCCUGGAAUCCAAGUGUUCCAGCAGCUUUUAAUGACUCUUCCCAGUCACAUCUGACCUUUUACAAAACAAAAAUAACAAGGGCACAGUCGCAUCCUAGUUUUAUUACAACUGACCUGCAGGCAGAAGACAGAACCAUUACAGAAACACUUCGAUCCAUGUGUAAUGUGUUAAAUAGAGGAGGAAGUCAAACCAGGGUACCGGAUAAAAUAUUCUGAAGCUCUUUGGAGCAGUUGUGUUCCUGAGCUCCACUUUACAGACAAUAAGGCAACAUCCCUGCACAUCCGCUUUUUUUAUAGUUUUUAUACAUUUUUCUAUGGUACAAGAAAAAAAAUAACCAGAGUUCACAAUGUACAGUUCUUACACUAUUUUCACAGCUUCUGGACACUAUAUACCUUUUUUUUUUUAAUAAAGAUACAUUGCAAUAAA